CCGGCUCAGAGAGUUCUCCACUGCUCCUCCCAGGCUCACGAGGCUCACAGGCUACCCAACGCCAGCGGCCCAGGAGGCUGGACCACAGGCCUUGGUCCCGACUUCUCCCUGCUGCUCGGCACGAGACCCUCCCCCAGGACAGCCACCUCCUGGUGCUGAAGAGCUGGCCCUCCGCAGAGCUGCCCGCAGAACCGCCCGCCGUUCCUUUUUCCUAUGCAUAUACUUCUUUGAGGGUCUGGCCUAAAGAGAAGCUGCACUGUGUGGGGCCCACGUUUUACACAAGUGGGAGGCAGAGGGCCCAGGCGCAGACGGCAGCGAGGCGUGGCGGAGGACGCGUGCACUCUGGGUGUGCGCGCUUUUGCUGCUGUUUUUUUUGAGACAGAGUCUCGCUCUGUCGCCCAGGCUGGAGUGCAGUAGCGGGAUCUCCACUAGCUGCAACCUCCAUCUCCCGGGUUUAAGCGACUUUCCUGCUUCAGCCUCCCAAGUAGCUGAGACUACAGGCGCCUGCCACCACGCCUGGCUAAUUUUUGUAUUUUUAGUAGAGAUGGGGUUUCACCUUGUUAGGCUGGUCUUGAACUCCUGACCUCGUAAUCUACCUGCCUCGGCCUCCCAAAGUACUGGGAUUACAGGCGUGAGCCACCGCGCCCAGCCGGCGUUUGCUUAACACCUUUAUUGCUUUUGUAAUCACGGGUAUGAGUUGAUUUUCUGGUCAGAGAUGUCAGUAGAGCUAAUUUCAUUUAAAUGUGUGAGGUGUGGUAAAGUUUUGACAAUAAAUGCAAAUUUUGAUAAAG